GACGAACGCUGGCGGCGUGCUUAACACAUGCAAGUCGAACGGAAAGGCCCUGCUUGCAGGGUACUCGAGUGGCGAGCGGGUGAGUAACACGUGGGUGAUCUGCCCUGCACUUCGGGAUAAGCCUGGGAAACUGGGUCUAAUACCGGAUAGGAGCCAUUUUUAGUGUGAUGGUUGGAAAGUUUUUUCGGUGUAGGAUGAGCUCGCGGCCUAUCAGCUUGUUGGUGGGGUAAUGGCCUACCAAGGCGGCGACGGGUAGCCGGCCUGAGAGGGUGGACGGCCACAUUGGGACUGAGAUACGGCCCAGACUCCUACGGGAGGCAGCAGUGGGGAAUAUUGCACAAUGGGCGCAAGCUUGAUGCAGCGACGCCGCGGGGGGGAUGACGGCCUUCGGGUUGUAAACUCCUUUCGCUAGGGACGAAGCUUUUUGUGACGGUACCUAGAUAAGAAGCACCGGCUAACUACGUG
rnacentral:rRNA from 1 species